AGGAUUUCUUCAGCAUCGAUGAACUGCCGUCAAAGGGGAUCAACGGUUUACUACCAUUAGACGAGCCCAUUAAAAAGUGGUUAGGAGUCAGUGGAAAACAGGAUUCAUCAUCUAACGGUACAUGAGAUCUCAUCAGUAGGAUGUCGAGGGAACUUCAUCUGGUUCAACACCUUUUUAACCGACUGAAUCAUUCUUCCCCAACAACCUCCAAAGUGCGGUGAAGCUGGCGGAUUAAAGGUCCACUUGGUGUCCGGACCCUCGAAGUACUCCAUCAUCCUCUCUUGGCUAAGUUGUUGUAGGACUGCACGUAAUUCGCGGCUAGCGCCAAUAAAAUUUGUACCACGAUCGCUGACGAUUUCAA